rnacentral:rRNA from 1 species
CCCCAGUAACGGCGAGUGAAGCGGCAACAGCUCAAAUUUGAAAUCCGGCCCCCCCCCGGGGGGCCCGAGUUGUAAUUUGCAGAGGAUGCUUUGGGCGAGGCGCCUUCCGAGUUCCCUGGAACGGGACGCCACAGAGGGUGAGAGCCCCGUCUGGUCGGACGCCGAGCCUCUGUAAAGCUCCUUCGACGAGUCGAGUAGUUUGGGAAUGCUGCUCAAAACGGGAGGUAUAUGUCUUCUAAAGCUAAAUACCGGCCAGAGACCGAUAGCGCACAAGUAGAGUGAUCGAAAGAUGAAAAGCACCUUGAAAAGGGGGUUAAACAGUACGUGAAAUUGUUGAAAGGGAAGCGCUCGUGACCAGACUUGGGGCGGGCGGAUCAGCCGGCGUUCUCGCCGGCGCACUCCGCCCGUCCCAGGCCAGCAUCAGUUCGCGCCGGGGGACAAAGGCGGCGGGAACGUGGCUCCCCAGGGAGUGUUAUAGCCCGCCGCGCCAUGCCCCGGGGGCGGACUGAGGGCCGCGCAUCACUGCAAGGAUGCUGGCGUAAUGGUCACCAGCGACCCGUCUUGAAACACGGGCCAAGGAGUCGUCCUCGUAUGCGAGUGUUCGGGUGUCAAACCCCUACGCGGAAUGAAAGUGAACGUGGGUGAGAGCUUCGGCGCAUCAUCGACCGAUCCUGAUGUUCUCGGAUGGAUUUGAGUAGGAGCAUACGGGGCCGGACCCGAAAGAAGGUGAACUAUGCCUGUGUAGGGUGAAGCCAGAGGAAACUCUGGUGGAGGCUCGCAGCGGUUCUGACGUGCAAAUCGAUCGUCAAACAUGGGCAUGGGGGCGAAAGACUAAUCGACC